UACGGGGGGGGCAAGCGUUGUUCGGAAUUACUGGGCGUAAAGGGCUCGUAGGCGGCCAACUAAGUCAGACGUGAAAUCCCCAGGCUCAACCUGGGAACUGCGUCUGAUACGGGAUGGCUUGAAUCCGGGAGAGGGAUGCAGAAUUCCAGGUGUAGCGGUGAAAUGCGUAGAUAUCUGGAGGAAUACCGGUGGCGAAGGCGGCAUCCUGGACCGGCAUUGACGCUGAGGAGCGAAAGCCAGGGGAGCAAACGGG
rnacentral:rRNA from 1 species